rnacentral:lncRNA from 1 species
CCGAGACAGCAAGACCAACACCUUUUCUUCUUUCUCCUCCUCAGCCUACUCAACAUGAAGACGAGUGAAGACCUUUAUAAUGAUCCACUUCCACUUAAUGAAUAACCUCCUGCUGGGACUCUACAGGAACUCAACUGCAGACUAGGAGGCAAAGGAGCCGACGGAUGUAUUCCACACUGAACAGCAUCCUGGGAUCCAGAGGGGUAAACAAGACGUCUGGUACCAUCACUCCUGGCCCCUCAGCAUCUACUUUUCGUUGCAGGAAAAGUUUGUGUCUCCAUCACAGGGGACACAUGAAGUUCCAUCAGCUACCAAAUCAUAACAGGGUAACAUCAGUUGAGUAGCAGCUGUGCCUGAAAUGAAAACAUUAAUGAUCACUGAGUUCUCCACGUAAGGUAGCAGAGGAAAAAAGGAAAAACAAAUAACACCAACAGUAGCUGAUACUAUCCCCAAAUCUGUAGCUGGACACAGAGCAUAAUUUGGUAAGCAGAAUUCCUUUUUCUACCAUACAUCCUAUCUCUAUGUUCUCCUUUCCCUUUGCCAGCACUAUGGUUGGACAGGGAUUCUCUCCUGGUAGGAUAAUCUGAACUUUCAUUUCUCUAAGUCCUACAAUAAAUAAGCAAAUUGAUUCCA